rnacentral:lncRNA from 1 species
UUUCUUCCCCAAGUUCAACACAAAAAAAGAAACUUUACGGCAUGUCGGCGGUAGGCUAUGGUUUUGCUGAAUCAUACGUGCAGAGGGACCUCCACAAGAGGAAGCUGAAGAUGGAAAAAGAAGAAAGAGCCAAGCUUGGCAGGCCGGAGUCGGAAUCGGAAAUGGUAAAGUCGUCAAGUGGUUGUUUCUUCUGGCCAGUGUUGAAAAAAGUCCAUCCAACAAUUGUUCCAAGGACUCGUUCAGCUGAAACUGAAGAAGUUAGAACUUUGAACCAUAAAGAUUAAGGAAACUGAAGAAAACAAGACACAGCUAAAGAACGAAGCCCCGGGGAAACACCAAGGCAUAUAGUAGCCAAGGUGUCUGCAACAAAGCUAGCUUUGCGAAACACAUGCAUGAAGGAUGGUGAAGUCCAAUUUCUUGUGUGCUGUAUGAGAGCUUUCGUAAUUCCUCUUUAAUUUGUUUAUUAGUCUAUGAUGAAAUUGUUAUUGUUGGCCUGAAACGCUUUUGUUAGUGAUGCUGCAAUAAAACGCACGAAUGGCGACCUAGCUAUUUCCACGAAAACCCUACAAAUUCAUAUUCGUUAGUGGUACAUCCUCCGUGCACACCUGCGUAUCGAACUAUAAAACGUUUGUCUAGAUGCUCCUUAAAUAUAUAUGGUUAGAGGAAGUUCGUGAUCAACAACAAAAUCAUCAUUAUUACUGCUAGUGUACUGCUAUGGUCGUUGAACGGACCGAAACCAAGAUAAAGAAGCUCGUCAUUGUCUCCUGGAAAAUAUAGCACGCCAUUGAAUGCAACGGAGAGCUCCCCAAGUUCAUCAAAAUCAAAGACCUCCACGCUUAAAUUGAAGGAAUCACAUUUCUCACCAUUCGCAGAUUCAUAGGGAGGAAGAAUUCUCAACACCUUGCAACUACACUCGGCAUCACGUGGUUGUCAUGUCCUUUCCAAUUGUCUUUCUUACAGUUACGGUAUUCGCGAUGAUAAUCCUCGCUUGCGCAGCACUAACCCAAGUCACUAUGCGUUGCAACCACAACUGGCUCUCCUAUCAAAUUGUGGAAGCUGAUAAUUCUUUUGAACACUUGGAGCUGGUAGCUUGGAUGCCCACAGCAUUUUAGGAGGGAGUUCCUCCCCUGUUUGGUUUAUUAGGGUGCGUGCCUUGGGAGCAUUCUUAUAGCUUUGGAUAUGUACAAAACGACCAAGAAAAUAAGAAUCCGCGAUUAGAGUGCGCCAACAUUGGACACAGACUUGCAUUGGAAAACAAAUUUGUUGCUUGGAAGUCGCCAAGGGAUUUCAACCAAUACAACAUCAGCCAAAAUUUAACCUCGUUCGUGGAGAGGCAAACCAAGCAGCACAAAGGCUUGCUCGUGCAGGACUUGGACAGCAACAGAAGGUGUCGUGCAUGGUUCGAGGGACCACCGGAUUUAAUCACACAUAUUUUGUCUGAGGAUAGCUCAAUUCGGUUUGCAUUGCUAUUUGAUUGCAUUUUCUUUUAGGAUAGUUAACUUUCAAGUUGCUUGUGCUCUAUUUCUCUUCAACUAGGCUAAAACCUCUGACAAGAUUUUUAUCGAGGUCUAUUUGUGCACCCUAUCCUCAAAUAUGUACGUAUUCCCUUUUGAAUAUAUUGCAAACAAAAACAAACACUUGAUUAAUUUUCAAACUUUUCAAAAUAAUGUGUAGUGCUCUUGCUCAAGUGUAUGUGCUCAAACUUUUCAAAAUUUUCAAACACAAGAAGAAACUCAAGAUGGAAGAAGAAAGAGGCAAGUC